UACGGAGGGUGCAAGCGUUGUCCGGAAUCACUGGGCGUAAAGGGCGCGUAGGCGGCCCGGUAAGUAGGGGGUGAAAUCCUGCGGCUUAACCGCAGGGCUGCCUUCUAAACUGUCGGGCUCGAGCACGGUAGAGGCAGAUGGAAUUCCCGGUGUAGCGGUGGAAUGCGUAGAGAUCGGGAAGAACAUCAGUGGCGAAGGCGGCUCACUGGCCCGGUACUGACGCUGAGGCGCGAAAGCGUGGGGAGCAAACAGG
rnacentral:rRNA from 1 species